UACGUAGGGGGCAAGCGUUGUCCGGAAUUAUUGGGCGUAAAGCGCGCGCAGGCGGUCCUUUAAGUCUGAUGUGAAAGCCCACGGCUCAACCGUGGAGGGUCAUUGGAAACUGGGGGACUUGAGUGCAGAAGAGGAAAGCGGAAUUCCACGUGUAGCAGUGAAAUGCGUAGAGAUGUGGAGGAACACCAGUGGCGAAGGCGGCUUUCUGGUCUGUAACUGACGCUGAGGCGCGAAAGCGUGGGGAGCAAACAGG
rnacentral:rRNA from 1 species